rnacentral:rRNA from 1 species
GUCCACGCCGUAAACGAUGGAUACUAGCUGUUCGGAGCAAUCUGAGUGGCUAAGCGAAAGUGAUAAGUAUCCCACCUGGGGAGUACGCACGCAAGUGUGAAACUCAAAGGAAUUGACGGGGGCCCGCACAAGCGGUGGAGCAUGUGGUUUAAUUCGAUGAUACGCGAGGAACCUUACCAAGGCUUAAAAUGGGAAACGACAGGUUUGGAAACAGACUUUUCUUCGGACGUUUUUCAAGGUGCUGCAUGGUUGUCGU